GAGAGCUUUGCUUUGCAGUACUUCUCUUUUUUUUUAAAGAUUUCAGACCGCUGCCAUUGCCCUCCCCUACUCUGUUCUUAUUUUCGCUCUAUCUACCGCUAAAGUGAGUGGGAGAGGCAGAGGGCAGAUUAUUUCUUUAUUUUUCCAACAUUUUGAUAUGUUUUCCACCAUAACCAUGGAGUUUGACAUGAAACCCCUGAACCUUUAAGGUUUAGAUGCCCCAGACGCAGUUGUAGUGAGAAGAAUCCUCCUCCAUCACGCAGUCCUCCGCCACUCUACUGUCAUCUGGAGGAAAAAAAUCAGAAGCGUGCAGGACCAAAAAAGAGAACUCUGUUUUUACCUAACAGUGCCUCUGAUUUUGUGAAAGCAGUGUUCCUGCCUCAGAGUGCUUCCUGUGCCGAGGGGUGUGGUGUGGAGCGAAGCGGUCCGGGGAGUGCGUGGAGGGGUAGGAACCCUCUGCCUGUCAGCCUGUGUCCUACCCUUUCUCUCCCUACAACACCA